rnacentral:tRNA from 1 species
UAUGCUCUAGUAUAUAGGUACGAAAGUUUUUGAUAUUUUAGGAGAUAAUUAAUUUUAUCGGGUGUAA